rnacentral:rRNA from 1 species
GAUGAACGCUGGCGGCGUGCUUAACACAUGCAAGUCGAACGAAGCACUUUGAUCGAUUUCUUCGGAAUGAAGUUUUAGUGACUGAGUGGCGGACGGGUGAGUAACGCGUGGGUAACCUGCCUCACACAGGGGGAUAACAGUUGGAAACGGCUGCUAAUACCGCAUAAGCGCACAGUACCGCAUGGUACGGUGUGAAAAACUCCGGCGGUGUGAGAUGGACCCGCGUCUGAUUAGCUAGUUGGCAGGGCAGCGGCCUACCAAGGCGACGAUCAAUAGCCGACCUGAGAGGGUGACCGGCCACAUUGGGACUGAGACACGGCCCAAACUCCUACGGGAGGCAGCAGUGGGGAAUAUUGCACAAUGGGGGAAACCCUGAUGCAGCGACGCCGCGUGAGCGAAGAAGAAUUUCGGUAUGUAAAGCUCUAUCAGCAGGGAAGAAAAAAUGACGGUACCUGACUAAGAAGCACCGGCUAAAUACGUGCCAGCAGCCGCGGUAA